CCUAACACAUGCAAGUCGAACGGUAACAUGACUAGCUUGCUAGUUGAUGACGAGUGGCGGACGGGUGAGUAACGCGUAGGAAUCUACCCAGUAGCGGGGGAUAAGCCAGAGAAAUUUGGUCUAAUACCGCAUACGCCCUACGGGGGAAAGCAGGGGAUCUUCGGACCUUGCACUAUUGGAUGAGCCUGCGUGAGAUUAGCUUGUUGGUGAGGUAAUGGCUCACCAAGGCGACGAUCUCUAGCUGGUCUGAGAGGAUGAUCAGCCACACUGGAACUGAGACACGGUCCAGACUCCUACGGGAGGCAGCAGUGGGGAAUAUUGCACAAUGGGCGCAAGCCUGAUGCAGCCAUGCCGCGUGUGUGAAGAAGGCCCUAGGGUUGUAAAGCACUUUCAGCAGUGAGGAAAGGUUAGUAGUUAAUACCUGCUAGCUGUGACGUUAACUGCAGAAGAAGCACCGGCUAACUCCGUGCCAGCAGCCGCGGUAAUACGGAGGGUGCGAGCGU
rnacentral:rRNA from 1 species